ensembl:lncRNA
GGAGGGUAUUAACUACCAGAGAUCAUCCCAAGAGUUCUAUGGAGCAUUUUGAACGUCCUUGACUGCCAGUGUAACUAGAUUUGUCUGUCAUAAUCUUUUUUUGAUGCUGUUAGGCAUUCCUGAAUGUUAAAUGCAGGUUUUUGGUGACUGCCUUUGACUGACAGAGCGGCAGCACUCUCCAGUGAUACAGUUUCCACUGUUUGAAGAUAAAGUGGUCUGCAGAAGUCUCCUCCUUUUUGUCCGAUGAUGUCAAUGUAUUUUUCUUCAUGCUGGUAACUCCUGAAAAGAUUAUUAGAAAUGGAAAAUAGGAAUUUUUGUAUUCCUUUUUUUUUUUUUUUGGUCAACUAAUACUUUAAAAAUCUGUACCCAAGAGACUUGUGGUUGAGACUUAGCAGUGUAGCAGAGACUGUUCCUUCCAGGUUGUUUUGUUCAGGGACCUCUCUUCUUCAUUUGAGUUGUGUUUCAUCACUUUACAAUUUGUGACUACUCAAAGACCUGCAGCAUUAGAAUGGGUGAUUGUAAGUGUACGCAAAGGUACACAUGAUGUGUAAUUAAAUUGUCAACCUUUCGCAAGACGCACUACCCAAAUAGAUAAGUUAAGUGGAGGAUAGCAUUCCACUGUCCUUAUACCCCACAGCCAAAAUGGCAAUAACGGAGAUACAGCAGAUACACCUAUGAUACCAGUUAGAACAUUAUACAGAGAUGCAGAUUUAAUGGUUUUCUGACAUCAGCUAUUCUGCAAAACUGCAUUCUGUCAUAAAUUCUUUUUAUUUAUUUGUUUAUUUUUGUCAGAUACCAAUUUAUUUAAAAAUAGAUUUUAUUUGGGGAAACAGGCAUAGUAUUUGAAAUCGAGUUGAUUUUAGUGUCUGAUUCAAAGGAGAGAGUUUCUUAGUAGCUUGUGUAUAACUUCUGUUAAAAAUGCUUUUUUUUUCUGCAGGUCUGUAAUCUUGAUUGAAACUGUAGAAAUAAAAAUGUAUUUAAUGUAUCAGUGAUGUUUUGGAAGAACCUGCCUUUUCUCGGGAUGUGAGCGUGUGGAAUGAAGUAUCUGCUGUUGUUGAUAGUCCAGUCUUAAAAGAACAGUCUAAACAAAGCAUCUGGACUAGAUCUUCCUGCUGCAGUUCAGCACUUCUUCCUGUCCGAAUCAAAGCCUGGUUCUCCAUCUUUUUAUUCCUCCUGUCCCCCUGGAGAGUGACUGUGGAUGGAAACAGAAAGGAUGGGUUCACAUGGGAGCCUUGCCUGCCAAGAGAAGGAUUACCAGGAAAUGGAGGCUCCAUGUGAGCCUGCAGGAUGGCUCUGAGUUGGGGCUCCCCCUCCCGGCUAAGGAUAAACUUACGGGAUCCUCACGCCCGUGCGAUGUUUGAGGCCCCCGGCAGUUGAGGUCCCUCCACCGGACUCGUCCCGCUGCCCCGGCACAGCAGCUCAGAGGAUGGCAGUCCCUGUCCUGCCCUCUUCGUCAGGACUUGGUGCAGAAGACAUGAGAGGACUUGGGAAAGGACAAGGGAGGGGAAAGGGAAGGGAGGGCUCGUAGGAGCCUUGGCUGUGAAAAGAAGAACACUCAGGAAAUGGAG